rnacentral:rRNA from 1 species
AUUGAACGCUGGCGGCAGGCCUAACACAUGCAAGUCGAACGAGUGGCGGACGGGUGAGUAAUGUCUGGGAAACUGCCUGAUGGAGGGGGAUAACUACUGGAAACGGUAGCUAAUCCCGCAUACCAUUGGAUGUGCCCAGAUGGGAUUAGCUAGUCGGUGGGGUAAAGGCUCACCUAGGCGACGAUCCCUAUCUGGUCUGAGAGGAUGACGAGCCACACUGGACCUGAGACACGGUCCACACUCCUACGGGAGGGAGUAGUGGGGAAUAUUGCACAAUUGGCGCAAGCCUGAUACAGCCUUGUCGCGUGGAUGAAGAAGGCCUUCGGGUUGUAAAGUACUUUCAGCGGGGAGGCGUUACCCGCAGAAGAAGCACCGGCUAACUCCGUGCCAGCAGCCGCGGUAAUAC